UACAGAGGGUGCAAGCGUUGUUCGGAAUUAUUGGGCGUAAAGCGCGUGUAGGCGGCUUUGCAAGUCGGAUGUGAAAGCCCUCGGCUCAACCGAGGAAGUGCGUUCGAAACCACACGGCUCGAGUCCCGGAGAGGGUGGUGGAAUUCUCGGCGUAGAGGUGAAAUUCGUAGAUAUCAAGCGGAACACCGGUGGCGAAGGCGGCCUUCUGGACAGUGACUGACGCUGAGACACGAAAGCGUGGGGAGCAACAGG
rnacentral:rRNA from 1 species